rnacentral:rRNA from 2 species
UGGGGAAUAUUGGGCAAUGGGGGAAACCCUGACCCAGCAACGCCGCGUGAAGGAAGAAGGCCUUCGGGUUGUAAACUUCUUUUACCAGGGACGGAGGACGUGACGGUACCUGGAGAAAAAGCCACGGCUAACUACGUGCCAGCAGCCGCGGUAAUACGUAGGUGGCAAGCGUUGUCCGGAUUUACUGGGUGUAAAGGGCGUGUAGGCGGAGCUGCAAGUCAGAUGUGAAAUCUCCGGGCUUAACCCGGAAACUGCAUUUGAAACUGUAGUCCUUGAGUAUCGGAGAGGCAAGCGGAAUUCCUAGUGUAGCGGUGAAAUGCGUAGAUAUUAGGAGGAACACCAGUGGCGAAGGCGGCUUGCUGGACGACAACUGACGCUGAGGCGCGAAAGCGUGGGGAGCAAACAGGAUUAGAUACCCUGGUAGUCCACGCUGUAAACGAUGAAUACUAGGUGUGGGGGGACUGACCCCUUCCGUGCCGCAGUUAACACAAUAAGUAUUCCACCUGGGGAGUACGACCGCAAGGUUGAAACUCAAAGGAAUUGACGGGGGCCCGCACAAGCAGUGGAUUAUGUGGUUUAAUUCGACGCAACGCGAAGAACCUUACCAGGAUUUGACAUCCCACUAACGAAGUAGAGAUACAUUAGGUACCCUUCGGGGGAAGUGGAGACAGGUGGUGCAUGGUUGUCGUCAGCUCGUGUCGUGAGAUGUUGGGUUAAGUCCCGCAACGAGCGCAACCCCUAUUGUUAGUUGCUACGCAAGAGCACUCUAGCGAGACUGCCGUUGACAAAACGGAGGAAGGCGGGGACGACGUCAAAUCAUCAUGCCCCUUAUGUCCUGGGCUACACACGUAAUACAAUGGCGUUUAACAAAGGGAAGCGAAGCCGCGAGGUGGAGCAAAUCCCGAAAAGGCGUCUCAGUUCGGAUUGCAGGCUGCAACCCGCCUGCAUGAAGCUGGAAUUGCUAGUAAUCGUGGAUCAGCAUGCCACGGUGAAUACGUUCCC